GACGAGCGCUGGCGGCGUGCUUAACACAUGCAAGUCGAACGGAAAGGCCCUGCUUGCAGGGUACUCGAGUGGCGAACGGGUGAGUAACACGUGGGUGAUCUGCCCUGCACUUCGGGAUAAGCUUGGGAAACUGGGUCUAAUACCGGAUAGGAGCCAUCUUUAGUGUGGUGGUUGGAAAGUUUUUUCGGUGUAGGAUGAGCUCGCGGCCUAUCAGCUGGUUGGUGGGGUAAUGGCCUACCAAGGCGGCGACGGGUAGCCGGCCUGAGAGGGUGUACGGCCAGAUUGGGCAUGAGAUACGGCCCAGACGCCUACGGGAGGCAGCAGAGGGGGAUAUUGCACAAUGUGCGCAAGGCUGAAGCGGCGGCGCCGCGUGGGCGAUGAAGGCGUUCGGGGUGUAAGCGCCGUUCGGCACGGACGCAGCUUUUUUGUGACGGUGCCUAGAGAAAAAGCACCGGCUAAAUACGUG
rnacentral:rRNA from 1 species